UACGUAGGGGGCUAGCGUUGUCCGGAAUCAUUGGGCGUAAAGAGCGCGUAGGCGGCCAGAUAAGUCCGGUGUGAAAGUCACAGGCUCAACCUGUGAAUGCCGCUGGAAACUGUCUGGCUAGAGUCCGGGAGGGGCGAGUGGAAUUCCGGGUGUAGCGGUGAAAUGCGUAGAUAUCCGGAGGAACACCGGUGGCGAAGGCGGCUUCCUGGACCGACACUGACGCUGAGGCGCGAAAGCUAGGGGAGCAAACGGG
rnacentral:rRNA from 1 species